UUAUUUAUUUUCAUUUUACUUAAAAUAUAUGUUUUUGUUAAGUUAACAUAUGUUUUUCUAAUCAAGUCUACGUAAUUGUGUCUAUUAUUCACUGUACAUAAUACUAAUGUGUUACUUGAUGGCAUAACAUUUAAGUUAAGUCAAUUAGGAUCGAUAUACUUUGUAUAUCCACAAGGUGGCAGUAAUGCAAAAACAGUUGUAAUGAAACCGCGAAGAACAACAAGGUUUCACGGCUUGGGCCUGCUCAUGCGCAAGACUUCAAAUUUAACUUAAAAACGUUGUUUUGGCGCCAAGCUGCUGUUUCGUUGAGAGAAACCCCUCAGUUUUUCCCUCCCCACUGAAGGUUUGUGCCGCUAUAACGAUCCUAAAUCUCUAAACCCUCAUCCAUUUAUCUCUUCACUUAUUGAUUCAUCUACCUAUCCACCCAUUUACACAUUAAUCUCCUCAUCCGUCUAUCGCUUUGCCACUUUUCAUUUACUCCUUUCCAUGAAUGAGCUGAAGGAUGAAGUACACGCCUGAAAGAUUCAUGGUUAUCCACAUCUGUGACUUUCCCACGUUUGCUUGAUCCUGCCAGUUUCCUUCUGUCAUGUCGCGGCGCCCUCUUCAAUCCUUCACCUCCAAACAUAACUGGUCAUCCUCCACAGCUUCUCUGUAAUAUUACUUCGAGUGUUAUACAAGAUUAAUGCCUGACAGUAUGUGUCCUGGUGUCUCUUGAGAACUCCACCAGCUCAUCAACACUUUUUCUCAUGCUAGCAAAGGUCAAAUCGGGGCAACUUUUGGAUAAGCAUACAUUUGCUAAUAAUGGUCUCUUUUUAGAUUUAGACUUGUACAUUAAUGCCCCAACUAUUAUCAUAAAAAAAGACAGACUGAGAACAGAUUUAAGAACAGUGCAGAAAUUUUUUUAAUCUGGUGAUUAGUCUGCAGUAAACCCAGCUUUUCACCUGCUGUCAGCAAGGACAGGUUCCCAGCUCAGUAGGUAGAGUGGUCGCCCCCAUAAUCAGAAGGUUGGGGGUUCGAAUCCACUGAACGGCUAACCUGAGGUACCCCUGAGCAAGGUACCAUCCCUAUACGCUGCUCCCCGGUGCGCCUGCUUAGUGGCUGCCCACUGAGUGAAUGGGUCAAAUGCAGAGAGAGUAAUUUCCCCAUGGGAGAUCAAUGAAGUUUACAUUAUUAUACUCUUUAUUUUUAGAAUUUCAUUGUUUUUUUCUUUCUGAUGUUUGUUACAUUUUCACUUUUGGUGGUGGGAUUAUGUAGGAAAAAGACGGAUCUAAACACAUUAAAAACAUAUGAAAAAACACAAGAGUAAAACAAAUGAGGUUUGCAAGGCAAAAAAAAAGAAAAUAAAACAAAAAAAGGAAAAAAAAGUUUAGUUUUAUUAUUAUUAUUGUAGUUGUAGUAUUGUAAUCUGCAAUGAUUGCACAUGUUUCUCACUUUUUUAGUGAUAAAAUCAAAAAAAAAAAUACCUAAAAUAUAGUACAAUGGAAGGAAGUGUUACUUGAGUUGUUCACUCGCCACCUCCAUAACAAAAUCAUUCAAAAUGCUGGAACCAGAUUGGUCAAAAAAAGGUUGGACAGAAGUUGCAGCAGCCACCUGCAGGGACAGAGUGUUCCUGGGCCUCAGAACAGAAUGAGCAGCAUGGAUAUUAUUUGAAUAUUUUUAUUAUUUUUCUUUCCCUGUAAAAAUGAUGAUGUUUGACUUGUAUUUAACGUGUAUAUGAUUGUUCUUAUUUUAUUAGUACAACAUUUAAUGUUAUUGCUAUUGGUUGUUGCUAUUUCUUUUUUUUAUUAUUUUAAUGUUUGAACUGAGCAACAAAUGGAGAUGCUGCAUUUCUUUAUCCCAGUGUUUCCUCAGAGUUUCUAAAAACUGCAUAUAAAGGACUGAAUAUAAAUCCCCCAAUAAUACACCUUUUUUUAAAGAGACCCAAAUAGAAACCAUACAGCCACACGCCUUCUCUUUACCAUGCCAUGUCAACAAGCUCUGCACAACUUAUUUACACAGUGAGGCUGGAUCAAAUUGCAGUCACAAUCAAGAUAAUUGGAGCGCAUUUUAAUACCAGGUGUAACCCUGUCAGCUAUAAAUUAUGUUCCUAUACAAUGAAAUUGUGGUACAGGAACAUAAUCUAAUUACAGU